rnacentral:tRNA from 1 species
AAAUUAAUGAGCUUGAAAUAAGCAUAUAUUUUGAAAAUAUAAGAAAGAUUAAGUUUCUAUUAAUUUG